ACUUGAGGGAGAAUAUAUAAACAUGAGAACAGUAGUCUGAAAAAUGCAUCACAACUUCACUGUCAUUCCAAGGUCAUGUCCAUCAUUUGUUUGUUUGUUUGUUUCAUGGAAGCAUCUGUGUAAUACAAAGGUAAACUGUGUAGGGCUCUAGGUGUUUUGGUGGUAUCCAUGAAGGUACAACUGCAUAGGCUUGUAACCUUGGAAACACUACUGCCAAGAAUCCUCAUGUUUAUUUUCCCUCACAAUGCCAGGCAAAGAGUGAGACUGUACUGCUAAAAGAUACACUGUAUCUGUCACCUUCUGCUCUCUCUCUCCAAACACCCCAUCCUGGGCUGAAAUGGGUGUGUUCUCUGAGACUGAUUUUCUUAAUUAGAGUCAAAUUCAAGGCAAUCUUUGGUGGAUUCUGGUAAUAAUUUAACCUCUGAAGUUGAUCAGCAUUCUGUCCUCUGAGUCACCUUCCAGCCCUACCAGUUUAAUUUUAAAAUAAGGAGACUGCCAGGAAGUGCUUUAUUCUUCUUCCAAAAUUCUCUUUUGGUAUUUUGCAUCCAUGAGUCACACAUAAUGAUUGCAGAAGCCAAAAGAAUGAAUUAGAUUCCCUAGAACUGGAGUUGCAGACAUUGUGAGCCACUUUAUAAGGGAAAUAUAGAACACACAAGCAAGAAGGAGCCACCCUUUUUGAGAUUUCUCAAGAAACCACCAGUCUCAGCUUUCCUGUCUCAUUUUCAGUGCUUGGUUCCAAAUGAGAUGACCCCUGAGCAUGGCAGAACAUGGCUGUAACCCCAGCACUAGAGCUGGUGACAUUUGCUUGGAUCGAAGAACUCCAGCAGAACUGGAAUCUGAUACCUACUCAUAAUCCUGCAGUUGUGAUAUGAGGAUUGUAUGGAUGGACUGUAGGAUUGGACCCAGACAAGAGAAGUAAUGCCCAAGAAGGUCAGUGUGCUGGUUAAUGUAUUUGCCUGAUGAAUGCUUUAAAAUCUGUCCCAAGAAUACUUUAAGAAGAUGGUUCGGUGAUUGGAAUUCUUUCUACAAUGAAUCUCUAAGAAGUAAAAUAUAUAAGGGGGGAAUUAGAGAGAAAAGAUCACCUAAAAUAGAUAUAUAGAAUUUAAUCUAAGGAAUGCACCUCUUGCUCUUACUGUCCAGUUUAAGCUGUGGGUGCAAAAUUCUAUAUCUUCCCCCUUCCACUACUUAUAAUUCUAAUCUUCAUUUACUUUCCAUCCAUUAUUUCAUCAGUUUCUAAUUUUUUUUUAUCCAAUAGUUACCCAAUAAAAUCACAGUACU